rnacentral:rRNA from 1 species
GACGAACGCUGGCGGCGGGCUUAACACAUGCAAGUCGAACGGAAAGGCCCUGCGUGUGUGGGGUGCUCGGGGGGCGAACGGGUGAGUAACACGUGAGUAACCUGCCCUUGACUUUGGGAUAACUUCAGGAAACGGGGGCUAAUACCGUAUAGGAUAUCCUGCUGCAGGGUGGGGGUUGGAAAGUUUCGGCGGGUGGGGAUGGACUGGCGGCUUAUCAGCUUGUUGGUGGAGUAGUGGCUUACCAAGGCUGUGACGGGUAGUCGGCCUGGGAGGGUGACCAGCCACCUUGGGCCUGAGAUACGGAGCAGACUUCUACGGGAGGCAGCAGUGGGGAACAUUGCACAAUGGGCGGAAGCCUGAUGCAGCAACGCCGCGUUCGUGAUGCCGGCCUUCGGGGUGUAAAACGCUUUCGCCUGUGACGAAGCGGGAGUGACGGUACUGGGUGAAGAAGCACCGGCUAACUACGUG